rnacentral:rRNA from 1 species
CGAAAGCCUGACGGAGCAACGCCGCGUGAGGGAUGAAGGCCUCUGGGCUGUAAACCUCUUUUCUCAAGGAAGAAGAUCUGACGGUACUUGAGGAAUAAGCCACGGCUAAUUCCGUGCCAGCAGCCGCGGUAAUACGGGAGUGGCAAGCGUUAUCCGGAAUUAUUGGGCGUAAAGCGUCCGCAGGCGGCCCUUCAAGUCUGCUGUUAAAAAGUGGAGCUUAACUCCAUCGUGGCAGUGGAAACUGUUGGGCUAGAGUGUGGUAGGGGCAGAGGGAAUUCCCGGUGUAGCGGUGAAAUGCGUAGAUAUCGGGAAGAACACCAGUGGCGAAGGCGCUCUGCUGGGCCAUAACUGACGCUCAUGGACGAAAGCCAGGGGAGCG